CAGUGUUACAGCUCUUUUACAAUUUGUCUAGGAGGUCCUCUAAUCUCUACCGGAAGCACCACC
rnacentral:snRNA from 1 species